ensembl:lncRNA
CAGUUCAAACUUGUGUUGUUCAAGGAUGAACUAUAAUUACAAUAGUAAACACGUCAUUUAAUCUUUAAAGGCUAUGGUGUCCAAUUCAGAAAUGGAUAAUUCUUAAUAAAAUAAGUUUAUCUAUUAAGUCUGUUCAAGUUCAACAUUCCAGGAUGACAUAACCUCUAUUUCCAGAACUGAAUCUUACACUCCUUGCUGCUGGACCUUGACCUUGGAAGUAUUUGCCUUGCCCCCAACUUCUACACUUGACCUUCUCAACCUUAUCCUACUGUCCUUUUAAAAUGUUCCUACCCUGUUCUCUUCAGGGCUUUUCUAUGUAAUCAAGCAUGCGCAUAUGCAGUCUGAAUGACAACACCUUUUAAUACACCUUUCUCGUGGUAAAUUUACAUUCGGGGACAUUGCCAUGACAUUCGGCGGGAGGACAGCAGUGACGUGGAACAUUCAGGCAUGGAGUCUGGGGAGGAGCCCUCGUCCUAUCUGCUUCCAUCUUUAGAGAGCAUAUGGCAUGAGGCAUGACUGCAUUUCUACUCUAAAAUAAAUUAUCUCUGUAGUAAAGAGGAUGAAUAUCAUUUUGUAAUUGUAUAACUCAUUUCCAUAAUGAUCACCAAUAGAAACAACAUUUGAGCUUUUUAGUCACACCAAAAAUAUAUAUAUUUUGUACACUAGUAAGUCCUUCUCAUAUAUAUAUACACACACACAUAUGCUUUUUUUUUUUCUGUGGUGUGUGUGUGUGUGUGUGUGUGUGUGUGUGUGUGUGUGUGUGUUUGCCUUUCCUAGGGCCACUUCCUGCAGCAUAUGGAGGUUCCCAGGCUAGGGGUCUAAUCAGAGCUGUCUGUACCCGCCAGCCUAGGACAGAGCCACAGCAACACAAGAUCCAAGCUGCAACUGCAAUCUACACCACAGCUCACGGCAACGCCGGAUCCUUAACCCAUUGAGCAAGGCCGGGGAUUGAACCCGCAACCUCAUGGUUCCUAGUCGGAUUCGUUAACCGCUGCACCACGAUGGGAACUCCCUCAAAUAUAUUCUGAUGUGGAGAGGUUGGGGUGGUUUGGGAUUUUUUUAUUUAACAUAACUGACACACAACUAUAUUAGUUUCAGGUAUACAACAUAAUAAUAAUUCAGUAUUUAUAUCGACUGUGAAAUAAUUAUCAUAAUAAGUCUAGUUAACAUUCAUCAUCACCAGUUAAUGUUUUCAUGUGAUCAGAACUUUUAAGAUCUCUCCUAUCCGCUUUCAAAAUACAACAGAGAACUAUUAACUAUAGGCACAUCCCCAGGACGUAUUCAUUUUAUAAGUUCAAGUUUUUUUGUUCUUUGAUUUUUUUUAGAUUCUACAUGUAAGUGAGAGCAUACGCUAUUUGUCUUUCUCUGUUCCAUUUAUUUCACUUAGGCUAAUAGCCUUAGGCUCCAUCCAUGUUGUCUCAAAUGGCAAAAAAAAAAAAAAAAAAAAAAAAAAAUUGUUUUUUAUAUUUUCUGCUUUCCACGCUCUAGUCUGGCUUUUUAAAAAAUAUUUUCAGAAAUUUAUGGAAUAACUUCACUUUGGACUGAACGGAUUUGCUUUUAUUUUCUAAAAAUAAAAAUUGGUGACAUGUGCUGAGAUAGUGUAUCUUGUGGAGAUGCAAUAAAAUUUAGCCAAUGUUCCAAAUGUGAUACAUCAAGUUACAACAUGAGUUCAAAUGAAGUCAGUAAAAUAAAAGUGCAAUUUUCUAGUGAAUAUUUACAUAUAAUUAUUAAGGAUAGGAUCUUAAAUAUUUUCUGAUUGCCUACCUGUGCUAAGAGUUAUGCGGGAGCAACAGCAAUCAAAAUCAGUUUUCUUUCCCAACAAGUAUACAUUCUGGUGAAAUCAACUUACGUUCAACAAUAACACAAAGUAGAAUAAAAUGGUUCUUUAAAGAAAAAGAAAUGAUUUCUGUAGCAGCAAAAAGGAUUUUAGCAUCAGAAGAAUAUAGAUAAGUAGAGAGGAUUAAAACUAGCUCUAAUACUGUUCCAAAUUUUAAGGUACUUCUUUGAGCAAUAAAAUCCAGGGAAAAUUACCCAACCAUGUCCUUUCAAAGGUUCACUGUAGAUUGUGCUUCUUGCAGCACUUCUGCAAAAAUGGGCUCUGACUAGUAGUGGACCACUGCUUCUGCAGGAGAUUCCUCAAAUAACUGUGAAGACGCAACUGGAAAAAUGCCAGGCCAGGCCUGAUCAUAGAGAGAAAAUCAAUUUAACACAACUAGUAUACAAAAAAAAAUCAGGUUCAGUGUGAUACAAUUAAAAGUGGUUAUCACAAAAAGCAGAAAUAUUAGGAGUGUUAGAAAUUACUGAGAGCCUUUUAGCAAAAGAGGGCCUGACUAACUACUAUUAUAAUGAUAAUGAAAAAUUUUUAUUUCUUAAUGAUCUCAUCUGGAACAUGUUAUAUUUGACAGCAUAAAAAUGCUUUCAGAUAUAAUAGGCACAUAAGGAAUACCAAUUAUGACCACCCUCACCCACAAGUAAAAAAUGACUUGAGCACAACUCAAAGUAUUUUUAACGCUUUUUAGAAGUUUCUUUUUUCAUUUAGGAAUAAGCGACUACAUACAGCAAUUCAUGGAAAAUUCAAACACUUAACUAUCUUGGUGAGGUGGAAAUAAAGUCUAUAAACUUCACUUCUGAUCCAGGUGAGAAGAUUUAAAUUUGAAGAGAAAAAUCACUUCAUUCUUGAAGUCCCAAAACACUGAAAAUAAAAUUCACUCUAGACUUUCAUAUUUGACAAAGACAAUAAUAUCAAACAGCAGCCCACAAUUCCCUAAAGGAAUCAUGUCAAUGGGUAUUUCUUAAAUUAAUUCAGUGACCUAUAAUAAUGAGAGUCCUUUAUAUAUAAUGCCUAACUGUAGACAAGGCAAAAAUUUCAGAAUCACUUCUGGUGACCAAACUCCAAAAACAAACUAUGUCUAAGUAGCUCCCUAAUUCUUACUUCACCUUGUAUCUGCUACUUAUAACAAUAUCAGAAAAACAAAAAUUAUACCACAUAUAACUUAUGAGAACUCCAAUUUUAUAAAUCAAAUGUAAGUUUGACCAAAGUUUCCAGUAAUGUCUAAUCAGUUAUAUUUGUAAGCUAAGACACUAGACAUUCCUUUUUACCAACUCUGGUUUAGUGAGUUUGCAUGCGACUACACAGUUCAUUCUUUAGUUAUUUAACAGAAAGUGUAUAACACUCUUUAAGAUUCCAAAGGUCUUAAGAAAUGAAAAAUGCUCAAAUGUAAAGGAUUUAUCUUUUAUUUUGGAACUCUCGUCCUUUACUUUCACUAUUUAUUGGAAUAAUGCACUAAAAAUUCUGACUGGAACUUCACACUCAAAUGUCUAAAGAAUUCUGAGCAGUUUACAUAAUACAUUUCCGUAAAUUCUAGGGAAUGAUUUAUAAAGCAUAAUAUUAGAGAACUAGUAUGUCUAAGACCAAAAGAGAGUAAAAUAUUUCACAUUUAUAUUUUUACAUUAAUUAUCUGUCUAAUUACAAAUAUAAGUGAAGCGAGGAUAAACAUCAGCUGUAACCUAAACACGUUCUUUGAAUUUCUCUUCCACAUCUCUGGCUUCCUUUCAAUCUUCCUGGCUCUAGGGGUAUACUACCCAUGGGCCCAGGUAAGGGUCAGACCUAACAUCUUUCUCUAUUCAUUACCUAGUUCAGAGGUCAGCAAACUGCUUCCUGGAGGCCAAAUCCAACGUACUACCAAAUUUUUACAGACAAAGAUUUAUUAGAACAAAGUCACACCCAUUUGUUUCAAUACUCUCACAGUGUUUCCCAAUUCAAGGGCAAAGUCUUAUGGUUGCAACAAAGACCUUAUGGUGUACCUGAAUGUUUAUAGAAAAGGUCUGUCCAGCCCUGUCUAGGGAAAUGCACUCAGAUUCACAGCUUUAUAUCUAUACCCUGACAGCUCCCCACAUUCUAUCUUCAGUCUGGAUCUAGACAUACAUUCCAACUUUUCAGGUCAAAUCUGCACUCAGAUUUCCAAUAGGCAUGCAAAUUUAAUAUGCCUAAAACUGGAAAUGUCAUUUCCAUCCAACCCUACCUACUCCUACAACUUCCAUGUCUCCACAUGCCCAUUUCUGCUCAUCCUAUUGCUUGGGCCAAAGUUUUAGAAUCAUCUUUGAUUUCUUUCUCUCACAUUUCUCUCCUUAUUCCAACCACCAAAAAAUUAUUUAUCUUCAAAAUACAUUCAGAAUCUGACCCCUUCUUAUCCAUUCCAAUCCUAACACUCUAACUCAAUCCACAACUAUUUCUCAGCUUGUGCAUUACAAGAGCUCCUGACUGGCUCCCUGUUGCUGCUCUCAGCCCCUUCCAUUCUAUCUUCACAAUGCAUCUAGAAUGAUCUUGAGAACCCACUGCUGAAAAUACUUCAAAGGCCACACAGGGUAUGACCCUGAAAGCCCUUCAGGAUCUGGCUCUGUUGGUUUCUCCACACGGGUCUCCUUGCAUCAACUAUAGUCCUCCUAGUAUCUUUGCACUUACUUUCCUCUGUGGAAAAUUCUUCCCCACAGAUAUCUAGUUGGCAUACUUUCUCAUUUUAUUCAUGUCUCUGCUCUAAUACUGCUUCAAGAUAGAGGCCACCUUCCUCAAUCAUUCCCUAUAAAUUAGUUAGAGUCCCAAGAAACAGACUCCAAAUCUUUGAGAUUUGCAUGCAUUUAGGAGAAUGUCUUUAGGAAAAACAUCUGGAAGGGAGUGAAAGAAGCAGGACAGGCAGAGGAAGAAACUGACCUGCAAUGUAGUUGCAACAGAGGCUUCAACCAAUGUCACUGAAACCUCGAGUGGGGAUGGCACUUCAGAAUUCCCAAACUGAGAAUCUGAGGUCUUUGAGUCCACAUAUUGAUGUAUUGUGAGAUGCACGGUACUCCCAGAGAGGGGGCAUAGCUUUGGGUAAGACACAUUAGAAUAUGCUAUAGGGAAAUUAAUUAGGGAAGUGUAAUAUUUCCUUACACAUUAACACUACACCUAUAAUCAAAGAGACAGAAAAUCACAAAUAUUGGCAAGGUUGAGGAAAAACUAGAACUAGAACUGGUAGGAAUGUAAAAUGGAACCACAGCUGCUAUGGAAAAGAAUUCAUAGUUUCUUAAAAAGUUUAACAUCAAUUUAGCACACAAUCUAGCAAUCCCACAUCUAGGAAUCUACCAAAAGAAAUAAAAAUACACAUCUAUGAAAAGACUGGUAAAUAUGUAUAGCAGCAUUCUCAAACUGCAAAAAUUAAGUUCAAAGAAAAAAUACUAAGAGCCACAAGGGAGAAGCAACAGAGCACAUAUAAGGGAAUUCCCAUAAGGAUGACAGCUGAGCUCUCAGCAGAAACUCUACAAGCCAAAAGGGAGUGGCCAAAUAUAUUUGAGGCAAUGAAGAAGAGGAACCUAGAACCAAAAAUACCCCACCCUGCAAAGCUCUCUUUCAGUUUUGAUGGAGAGAUGAAAAACUUCACAGACAAGCAAAAGCUAAGAAAAUUCAGCACCUCCAAACCAGCUCUACAUCAUUUACUAAAGGAACUUCUCUAAGCAGAAGAGGAAAAGCCACAAUUAGAAACAAGAAUAUUAAAAAUGAAGAUGCUCACUGAUAAAGGCAAAGAUAAUUUAAAAGUAGGAAAUCACCCAUUGACAAAUACGAUAGCUAAACUAGCAAGCAUGAGAAGAGGAGAAGACAAAUGCAGAACAUUGAAAAUGCAUUGAAAAUUAAGGAGACCAGCAAGAUGAAACAAUUCUGCACACACAGAAAUGUAUAUAUCAAAAUAUAAUGGGAACCACUAGUCAAAUAACUAUAAUGGUCACACACAUAAAAAAGAAAAACCAAGACAAACAUAACACUAAACAUAGUCAGUAAAUCACAAGACAAGACAACAAAAAGAGGAAGGGAAGAAAAAAGACCCAAAAUAGCAAUCUAAAAAAAAAUUUAAGUAAAUGACAAUAAAUACAUACUUACCCAUAAUUACAUUGAAGAUAAACAGAUUAAAUGCUCCAACUAAAAGAAAAAGAUUAGCUGAAUGGAUUCAAAAUCAAGACCCAUAUAUACGCUGUCUACAGAAGACCCACUUCUGGAGUUCCCAUCAUGGUGCAGUGGAAACAAAUCCAACUAGGAACCAUGAAGUUGUGGGUUCAAUCCAGGGCCUUAUUCAGUGGGUUAAAGAUCGGCAUUGCCAUGAGCAGUGGUGUAGGUCACAGAUGUGGCUUGGAUCCAGUAUUGCUGUGGCUGUGGAGUAGGCCAGUGCUACAGCUCCAAUUAAAAAGCCUAGCCUGGGGACCUUCAAGUGCCACAGGUGCAGCCCUAAAAAGCAAAAAAAAAAAAAAAAAAAA